GACGAACGCUGGCGGCGUGCCUAACACAUGCAAGUCGAACGGAGUUGACCCUUCGGGGUUAACUUAGUGGCGAACGGGUGAGUAACGCGUGAGAAACCUGCCUUUCAGUGGGGGACAACAGUUGGAAACGACUGCUAAUACCGCAUAAUGUCAUUUGGGGGCAUCCCCGGAUGACCAAAGAUUUAUUGCUGAAAGAUGGUCUCGCGUCUGAUUAGCUAGAUGGCGGGGUAACGGCCCACCAUGGCGACGAUCAGUAGCCGGUCUGAGAGGCUGGACGGCCACAUUGGGACUGAGAUACGGCCCAGACUCCUCCGGGAGGCAGCAGUGGGGAAUAUUGGGCAAUGGGGGAAACCCUGACCCAGCAACGCCGCGUGAAGGAAGAAGGCCUUCGGGUUGUAAACUUCUUUUACCAGGGACGAACACAAUGACGGUACCUGGAGAAAAAGCAACGGCUAACUACGUGCCAGCCGCCGCCGUAAAAC
rnacentral:rRNA from 1 species